GACACAAAACCCGGAAGGACCCCGCCGAAGGUUUUCUCCGGUUCGGGAGAGAGACGGAGUCCCGCUCUGUCACGCAGGCUGCCAGGCUGGCGUACAGUGGCGCAAUCUCAGCUCGCUGCAACCUCCACCUCCUGGGUUCAAGCGAUUUUCUUGCCUCUGCCUCCUGAGUAGCUGGGAUUACUGGCACACACCACCAUGCACAGGGAGAUAUGAGACAUCAAUCAAUAUAUGUAAGAUGUACAUCAGUUUCGUCUGGAAAGAUGGGACAACAUGAAGCAGGGAGGGGGCUCCCUGGUGACAGUUGCAGGAAUUUAGCCAAUUCAGAGGUCUUGUUCUCCAUAAUUUGGAAUUUUCCUUCGGAUUUGAUCAAGUUGGAUAGAGUUGGUCAAACCCAAUGGGAAAAAGAUGAAAACAACAAGAAACAGAAACAAACAGCAACAACAACAACAACAAAAACAAUGCAUUUAAUUAAAUGAAGAUGAGCUCAUGCUGGAGUAGGGUGGACUCUGAACCCAGUGGGACAAGCGUCCUUAUUAAGAAGAGGGAAAUCUGGACACACACAGAGCAGAGACCGCCGUGUGAAGAUGGAGGCAGAGAUCGGAGAGAUGCUGCCACACGCCACAAAUGCCUGGGGCUCCCAGAAACUACACGGAGCCUCCCCCAGCGGCUUCAGCAGGAGCAUGGCUCGGCCAACACUUUGAUCUUGGUCUUCCAGCCUCCAGAACGUUUUCCUAAAAUUCCCUUUUCCACUGGUGUGUGGUGCAAGAUGAGGCACAUUUUCCAUGGAUGGUGAACAGAGGGAGGAGCCUUUUGAUCACAACCAGGUCACCCCACUUCUAAGCCACUGUGCCUCCAGCCCCACAAGACUAAGGAGAGAGAGCGCAGCGUGGUGGAGAGUGAGCUGUGCUGGGACCAUUGUUUCCGUAACCUCGUUUUCUGUGUCCAGCUGACACACCUUCAAAGUGGCAUCAGGUCCUAAACUGUAGCUUGCAAUGUGCCUGUUUCCAGAAACCAAGGUGAAAGUGCUUUUAGACAGUGUUCCCAUGCAAGAGUCCCUUCCCAGCUUUUUUCUGGAAAUGCAUGUUUCUCUGAACUCUGAGUCCCAAGAAAAAUCACUUGAGACACCAAGAAAAUGGGGGAAGUGCUAAAAUUGUGUGGGAAUUCAAGCUUAACAAUAAACAUCAAGACAUUUUUGAUAAAAAUGAAUCCACUGACAUCGGGGAGGAGCAAGAGAACAGCACGCUGACACUGGGUCAGAGGCUAAGACCGACAUUUCUGGGAACCACUCCCGGAAGGGCACAGAGGAGACGCUUUCAGCCUCUCAUCAGCCAGCCUGGCCUGUAGCUGCUGCACGUUAUGAGUGUGUUCCUGGCAUGACUGCUUCUAACAGCGACCAUUUCAUUAAGUUUUUAAGUGCCUGGUAAUUGCUUGGUUAUGACCGGUGUCUGCUCCAUGGCAGCCUCUUCCUGUUUUUGCCCGAAUGAUGAAGGAGGAAGUUUACAUCUUGCUCCCUGGGGACAGGCAGAGACAGUGUGUGCACUUCCAUCCUACAGGGACCAGAUCUGAACAGUCUGGAGAGAGGAGCUGUGGUGGCAGCAGACAGAUCUCUGCUUCAGGGGCCAGGUGUCUAGAAGAAAUGCUGAGGCAGUGUCACGCUGGUGUCUGUCCUCCUUACAGAAUGCCUGAACAGUUCCAUUGACUCAAAGUGAAGAUCAAAAGAACCAAAUGACAGCAAUAGCCAAGUGUAAUCAUCAGUAACCCUGUGUUCUAUCCACAGGUAAAAAACAAUCAUCCUCUUCAUUAUGGGUUUCAAUUUUAAAUGUAAUACAUUUUUAGAAAUGCCUAUUUCCUUUUAUAAUCUCUUUAUAUAAUCUAGGUUAUUCUGGCUCUUAGGUCUUCAUUUAGCUACUGAAAAGAUUUGAUCUCAAAUCAAUGAUCUAACCACCCAUGACCAUCUCCCACCUCUCUCCCCGUACACCCCCCAGCAUGAAUUCUGGGAACUCAGGUAAAAUGCUUUCUGGAAACCUGCCUGUAUUAGUCUGUUGUCAAGCUGCUAAUAAACACAUACCCGAAACUGGGUAGUUUAUAAAGGAAAGAGGUUUCCUUUAUAGUUCCACAUGGCUUGGGAGGCCUCACAAUCAUGGUGGAAGGCGAAUGAGAAGCAAAGUCACAUCUUGCAUGGCAGCAGGGAAGAGAGAGUUUGUGUAGGGGAACACCCCUUUAAAAAACCAUCAGAUCUUGUGACACUCAUUCACUGUCACGAGAACAGCACGGGAAAGACCCGCCCCCAUGAUUCAAUUACCUCCCAUGACACAAGGGAAGUAUAGGAGCUACAAUUCACAAUGAGAUCUGGGUGGGGACACAGACAAACCAUGUCACCGCCUAAAACCAACUCAAUAGUCUAAGGAAUUUGACUGGGGAGAAUCUGGAGAGGAUUUAAUUAAUUUGGCAAAAGGAUUAGCAAUUGAAUCUAAGUGAGAAAAGAGAAUUCUUGGAGGAAAAAAAGAUGUUUAGUUACACUGAGAAAUUAAAACCUGAAGUAAUUGCCUUUGAGAUUUUUUUCAGGAAAUGAGUAUUGAUUGCCUACUGUGUGUCAAAUUAUGUGUUUCAUGUCAAAGACUCCAAAGUAGAUAAGAUAUAGGCCCAGCCUUGGGGAGCUCAUUGAGUCACAGAGAAAGUUUGAAUGUUUCAGAGGAAUCAUCAAGAACAGGGGAUCAGCAAUCUAUUAUAUUUUAAUUGCGUCUUUUCAUGAUUAUAAAAGCAAUGCAUGCGUGCUGAAGAGAAUUUGGAAAAACAAAGAAGAAAUUAAAAAUCGUCUCUGAUCCUGCCACCAGAAAUAACCACUGUUAGCAAUUGUAUCACUUCUGUAGGUCUACAUGGUUAUCAUAAUAAGCUCUAGUAUUGAUUACAUGCAUCUCAUGUACCAGAGAUUAUGCUAGACUCUCAUUUAAUCUGUACAUUAGCCCUAUGAAGUAGGGACCAUCAUUCUCCUCAUUUUACAGAUGAGGAAACAGAGGCUUGGAGAGGUUACUCUGCCUAAAGUCUCAUAGCUAGCGAGUGGCAGAGAUUGGACUCACCCAAGCUUUGUCUUAUUCUCAAGCUCUCAACCAACCCGGUGGUGAGAAGAGCCAGCAGCAAAGCCUGUCAUCUUUGUCUUCUUUUUUUUUCUAACCUCAAAUCAGGGAGAAAAUGCCCUUUGUCAUUAGAAGGGCAAGGCAAUUCUGAAGACAGCCCAGUUGGCUUGUCUCCGAUUUGGCUUUCAGGGGCCUGUCUGAUACCUAUGGAGAGACGAGGGCUGAACAAGCUGUACUCUCAAAACAAAACAAAGCAAAACAAAACUUUAGUCUCUUUAGGGACUCUCUGAUAGUAAUGCAGAGGGAGAAAGGCUUUCUUUGUCUCACUGGGAGGAAGGUUCCCUACGGAAAUUGAAGGCAGUGCCUGUUGACAUAGCGCUGCCACCUGGUGGAAAUAAUGGUGUAGGACAUCAUGUCCAGCACCACUAGCGCUGAGACACUCCCUGGGAAGAGAAAUGUUUGGAGAGAAAUUUGCAAGAAGUUGGAAGUCUCGCAGUAGCAGGUAGGAACAAGAAUUAUAACUGCUACUGUGACCCCCUAAGGCUCCUCACAUCCUCUUAAGGCUUGGAGAAACUCACACUAUGUAUAUUUUCCUGUAUUUUUGAAAAAUGUUUUCCUUUAUGCUUUGUUGUAAUGAAAUUACCUCUGAUGGUCACAUACCUUAAAUAUUUAGUAUAUAUAUGAAUACUAAAUGUCCAUUUUCAGGAGUUAGUUUACCUGCAUCUAAAAUCAGGAAUAGGUCACAGAGUAACUGAGCAAAAAGUGCUGUUAGGUUUGUGCAUUUCACCCUUUGCCUGGGAUGAGAGGACCUCAAUCAUCUUGGUACUAAUGACAGGAAAAGUGCCCUCCUAUCCAUGUGUAUCGGCUACGUGACUCAAGUCUCCUUAUUUCCUUUUCUAGCAUAACAAGGGGUUGUUACUGUUGUUUUACAUCUGUGUUAAUGAGAUAAAUAAGUUUAAAAUAAAAAGAUGUGUACCAGG
rnacentral:lncRNA from 1 species